AGAUUGAACGCUGGCGGCAUGCCUUACGCAUGCAAGUCGAACGGCAGCACGGGAGCAAUCCUGGUGGCGAGUGGCUAACGGGUGAGUAAUACAUCGGAACGUGCCCAAUCGUGGGGGAUAACGCAGCGAAAGCUGUGCUAAUACCGCAUACGCCCUACGGGGGGAAAGGGGGGAUUCUUCGGAACCUCUCACUAUUGGAGCGGCCGAUAUCAGAUUAGCUAGUUGGUGAGGUAAAGGCUCACCAAGGCGACGAUCUGUAGCUGGUUUGAGAGGACGACCAGCCACACUGGGACUGAGACACGGCCCAGACUCCGAGGGAGCAGCAGUGGGAUUUGGACAAGUGGGGAAACCUGAUCCAGCCAUCCCGCGUGUGCGAUGAAGGUCCGUUGGUU
rnacentral:rRNA from 1 species